GACGAACGCUGGCGGCGUGCUUAACACAUGCAAGUCGAACGGAAAGGCCCUGCUUUUGUGGGGUGCUCGAGUGGCGAACGGGUGAGUAACACGUGAGUAACCUGCCCUUGACUUUGGGAUAACUUCAGGAAACUGGGGCUAAUACCGGAUAGGAGCUCCUGCUGCAUGGUGGGGGUUGGAAAGUUUCGGCGGUUGCGGAUGGACUCGCGGCUGAUGAGCUUGUUGGUGGGGUAGUGGCUUACCAAGGCUUGGACGGGUAGCCGGCCUGAGAGGGUGACCGGCCACAUUGGGACUGAGAUACGGCCCAGACUCCUACGGGAGGCAGCAGUGGGGAAUAUUGCACAAUGGGCGGAAGCCUGAUGCAGCAACGCCGCGUGCGGGAUGACGGCCUUCGGGUUGUAAACCGCUUUCGCCUGUGACGAAGCGUGAGUGACGGUAAUGGGUAAAGAAGCACCGGCUAACUACGUG
rnacentral:rRNA from 1 species